UGGAUCGAUGAUGACCGCUGGUGGCGUAUGAGUCGUUCACGAUGACUACGUGUCUGGAGCUCUGAGGUCCCA
ensembl:snoRNA